UACGAAGGGGGCUAGCGUUGCUCGGAAUCACUGGGCGUAAAGCGCACGUAGGCGGACUCUUAAGUCGGUGGUGAAAUCCUGGAGCUCAACUCCAGAACUGCCUUCGAUACUGGGAGUCUCGGGUUCGGGAGAGGUGAGUGGAACUGCGAGUGUAGAGGUGAAAUUCGUAGAGAUCCCCAAGAACACCAGUUGCGAAGGCGGCUGACUGGACACAUAUUGACGCUGAGGCUCGAAAGCAUGGGGAGCAAACAGG
rnacentral:rRNA from 1 species